rnacentral:tRNA from 3 species
GGUCGCAUGGCUCAGUUGGUAGAGCACAUCGUUCACAUCGAUGGGGUCACAGGUUCGAGUCCUGUUGCGACCA